GCCUGGGUGGCUCAGUCGGUUGAGCGUCCGACUUUAGCUCAGGUCAUGAUGUCACAGUUCGUGGGUUCGAGCCCCUCAUCGGGCU
rnacentral:tRNA from 1 species